rnacentral:rRNA from 1 species
GACGAACGCUGGCGGCGUGCUUAACACAUGCAAGUCGAACGGUGAAGCCUUCGGGUGGAUCAGUGGCGAACGGGUGAGUAACACGUGAGUAAUCUGCCCUUGACUCUGGGAUAACUUCGGGAAACCGGAGCUAAUACCGGAUAUGACGCAUGGACGCAUGUUCUGUGUGUGGAAAGAUUUAUUGGUCAGGGAUGAGCUCGCGGCCUAUCAGCUUGUUGGUGGGUAAUGGCCUACCAAGGCGACGACGGGUAGCCGGCCUGAGAGGGCGAUCGGCCACACUGGGACUGAGACACGGCCCAGACUCCUACGGGAGGCAGCAGUGGGGAAUAUUGCGCAAUGGGCGAAAGCCUGACGCAGCGACGCCGCGUGAGGGAUGAAGGCCUUC